rnacentral:rRNA from 1 species
UACGAAGGGGGCUAGCGUUGUUCGGAAUUACUGGGCGUAAAGCGCACGUAGGCGGACAUUUAAGUCAGGGGUGAAAUCCCGGGGCUCAACCCCGGAACUGCCUUUGAUACUGGGUGUCUAGAGUGUGGAAGAGGUGAGUGGAAUUCCGAGUGUAGAGGUGAAAUUCGUAGAUAUUCGGCGGAACACCAGUGGCGAAGGCGACUCACUGGCCCGAUACUGACGCUGAGGCGCGAAAGCGUGGGGAGCAAACAGG